GACGAACGCUGGCGGCGUGCCUAACACAUGCAAGUCGAGCGGAGUCGAUCGACGGAAGCCUUCGGGCGGAAGAUGGUUGACUUAGCGGCGGAUGGGUGAGUAACGCGUGGGCAACCUGCCUCGAAGACCGGGAUAACAGCCCGAAAGGGCUGCUAAUACCGGAUGUGGUCAAGGAUCCGCAUGGAUUUUUGAUUAAAGGGGAAACCCGUUUCGAGAUGGGCCCGCGUCCUAUCAGCUAGUUGGUGAGGUAAAAGCUCACCAAGGCGACGACGGGUAGCCGGCCUGAGAGGGUGACCGGCCACACUGGAACUGAGACACGGUCCAGACUCCUACGGGGGCAGCAGUGGGGAAUCUUCCACAAUGGGCGAAAGCCUGAUGGAGCGACGCCGCGUGAGCGAAGAAGGCCUCGGUUGUAAGCUCUGUCUGGAGGGACGAAGGAAGUGACGGUACCUCCGGAGGAAGCCACGGCGUAACUACGUGCCAGCAGCCGCGGUAAAGUACUCUAU
rnacentral:rRNA from 1 species